UGAACUCCAGGCAGUGGCUGGAGCCCCCUGUAAGCAGGGGUGCAGCCUCUUUGGCCACUGCUUUGCAUGCCCAGCUGCCUUUGCCCAGAGGGCCCGGCUCCCAGCAGCGGAUGGGACUGCGUCGCUCUGAAGCCAUCGGAGAAGAAAGAAGAGACAGGAGUGGAACUUCGAGGCAAGAGCGAAGAAGAGGAGCUUCAGCGUCGAGCUCAAGAGUGGACCAGCGAGGCAAGAGCCAAGGAGAAGAGCGGCAGCGUCGAGGAGGGAAAGAGGGG